UUUACAUUAACAAAGAUUCAAGAAUUGAAGAAUCUUGAAGAGGAAGUUAAGAGGAACCAAUCCUUGAAAUCUCUCUUGCUAUCUCCUUCUGGUGACUUUGUGAUUUCUUAUUAUGGAAAUAAAUUUUAUGACAAGUUAAGGUCAGAUGAGGAGAGCUUUGAGAUUGUGAUGAUACCUCUUGAUGAGUAAGAAGAAUCCUUUAAGAAAGGAUUGGAAAGUAUGCCUUGAUUGUCAUUGUCUUUUGAGGACAAGAACGGUGGAAAAUGAUCAAAAAUAAAGAUCGAAUACUCUUUUAUAUUAAUGUUGUAAUUUUUUUAUAAUGGUGUUAAAUUUAUAGUGAUCAAACAUUAGCUUUUUUUAA